AAUGAACGUUGGCGGCGUGGAUUAGGCAUGCAAGUCGUGCGGCAGCAGGCCCCGCAAGGGGUGCUGGCGAGCGGCGAAAGGGUCAGUAACACGUGGAUAACCUACCCCCGGGCCCGGAAUAGCGGCGGGAAGCUGCCGGUAAUGCCGGAUAAUGUCCCUGGACCAAAGGUGUGAGUCCGUCCGAGGAUGGGUGCGCGUCCGAUUAGCUAGUUGGUGAGGUAACGGCCCACCAAGGCAAAGAUGGGUAGGGGGUGUGAGAGCAUGACCCCCGACACUGGGACUGAGACACUGCCCAGACACCUACGGGUGGCUGCAGUCGAGAAUCUUCGGCAAUGGGCGCAAGCCUGACCGAGCGACGCCGCGUGCGGGAUGAAGGCCUUCGGGUUGUAAACCGCUGUCAGAGGGGCGGAAAUAUGUUGGAGUUCUCUCCAGCAUUUGACUUAACCUCAGAGGAAGCAUGGGCUAAGUUCGUGCCAGCCGCCGCGGUAAUAC
rnacentral:rRNA from 1 species